AAACCGCCGAUGGCCCGCGCAAGCGGGAUCAGGUAAGGGUGAAAGGGUGCGGUAAGAGCGCACCGCGCGGCUGGUAACAGUCCGUGGCACGGUAAACUCCACCCGGAGCAAGGCCAAAUAGGGGUUCAUAAGGUACGGCCCGUACUGAACCCGGGUAGGCUGCUUGAGCCAGUGAGCGAUUGCUGGCCUAGAUGAAUGACUGUCCACGACAGAACCCGGCUUAUCGGUCAGUUUCACCU
rnacentral:RNase_P_RNA from 1 species